CAAAAUAUAUAUAUAUAUCAAUGUAAGGACACUGUCCUUCAUGUCCCUCCCAUCAAGGUGUACUAUGCAGAUUUUAAUCCAUAUCAACCACUGUCCAGCCCAAAGAGCGACGCAUCCAAUCAGAGCUUUGUUUGGCCCGACAAGCCGGACUUGGGCGCCGUUGCCAAGGCGUGGGGGGACAGCCCGUACUUGUUCAUCGUCAAGGUGCAGCCGCUCUUACGCGGCGUUGAGGAGGAGGACUUUGCGGCCGAGCAGCUCAACUUUGCUUUCACCAGUGAGGAGGAUGACGUGGCCUGACCUUGAAAAGCAACAACAAAAA